CGGGCCGCAAUGUCCUCCUGGGCGAGUUGCAGGACCACUCCGGCACCUAUUUCCCAAAAGCGGGGCGACAAGGCAUAGAAACCCAACAUGCUGAAAUAACCGCGCGGCGAGGCGAUAGCGCACA
rnacentral:SRP_RNA from 14 species